rnacentral:rRNA from 1 species
UCCCUUAGAUGUUCUGGGCCGCACGCGUGCUACACUGAGUAAUUCAAUGGGUAAGGGAACGCUAGAGCAUUACCUAAUCUUGAAAUUUGCUCGUGAUGGGGAUCGACGGUUGCAAUUUUCCGUCGUGAACGAGGAAUACCUUGUAGGCGCAUGUCAUCAUCAUGCGCCGAAUACGUCCCUGCCCUUUGUACACACCGCCCGUCGCUCCUACCGAUUGAGUGAUCCGGUGAGGCUCUGGGACCUGGACGGAAAGAGCGUUUCGCUUGUUCUGUUUGGGAAACUUGGUCGAACCUUAUCAUUUAGAGGAAGGAGAAGUCGUAACA